CAAAUAUAUUAUUUUGCUGCAAUAAUGUGAUUUUUUAAUGUUUGUUGCGUGAAAUAUUUAAAAAGAAUAUUGUCCAAAACUUCUAUAAUACCAGUUACAUUUGUAUUGUGUGAAAGUUUGGCUUGUGGUGACUCCGCCGGUCCCGAAAAUUAUUUCCUGCAUCAUAUUCUGUAUUUCCGGAGGACUAGAAGUUUUGGAUACACAACUUUCUAGCUAAUAAGCAUUGUCAGGUCCCAUGGAAAUCAUCAAUGAUGUCAUGCAUAUCUGCCGGAAUAUAUUUGACUGUGUCUGAAAAUUUUAAUAGACGAAAAGAAAUAAUAUUAUUGAUGAGUUGGUUGUGCUUGAAUUGCCAUGAGACUUCGUUGGACUGGAAAUCAAAAGAAAAGGUGGAGAUUACAUAAAGAUAUGGUGUGCAUUUUUCUGCAAAUUCCUGGCAACAAAAAAUGGAGAUCUUUCCGUGAAAAUGGGCUAUAGCUACAUCUGGUUCAAGAACGACCUGAAUUGUAAUAAGGUUGUGGGAGAGGAGAUUAAGAUACAUUCAGCGCAAAAUGUAAUCCUUCUAGUCUUCCGGACAGAACGUGAUCAUGAGUUAGCAACUAUGGAAGAAUCUUGACGAAGAGAUCGAAUUGAUGGCCAACUUUCCAGACUGGAAAAACAAUUUUUGGACUCUUUAGGAUCGAAGAAAAUCAGAUUUUUAUGAAUAAUUAUGCAACAGCCCUUUUCAAUUCGUAAGCUAAGAUAUUUUUGAUAAAAAUGUAAAAUUAACUCGGUGGAUGUAUCAGUCCGGAAAGUGUUAAGAGUUGUGGGAGGAUCCAGGUAUGAAUUAAUUUUUUUUUUUUGGGAAUUCUGAAAGAACAUCUUUGUGAGAUCAAUUUAGUGUGGCAUAUUUGAUAUAAAUCAGCAAAAAUAUGAUAAAAAUAAAUAGCAUUAACUCCCAUGCAAAUU